UACGGAGGGGGCUAGCGUUGUUCGGAAUUACUGGGCGUAAAGCGCGCGUAGGCGGAUCUGCAAGUCGGGGGUGAAAUCCCGAGGCUCAACCUCGGAACUGCCUUCGAUACUGCGGGUCUCGAGUCCGGGAGAGGUGAGUGGAAUUCCGUGGUGUAGCGGUGAAAUGCGCAGAUAUCAGGAGGAACACCAAUGGCGAAGGCAGCACUCUGGGACGUGACUGACGCUGAGACGCGAAAGCGUGGGGAGCAAACAGG
rnacentral:rRNA from 1 species